AUGACAUUCUAGAGACCAGGGGCAAGUCCUCAUCUGGAGUGUGGAGUUGCAGAGAUUCAGAGCCCAGGAGGCCUGGAAAGCUACAGAGCUGAGACAGCAGUGGCACCAAGGACCUGUGUCUUACCUCACCAUUUGCUACCUGGAGAGAUGGCUCUAGCUUCUUGUCUCUGAGGAGCCUAGGUCCCUUCUACUUUUUCUCAGCCUGUUCAGUUUUACCCUCUGAGGUGCUGAGGAAGCUGCUCACUACCUAUCUUGAUUCUGGGUUAUCUCAUUGAGAGGCAAAGGCAGAGCUGUGCCCACUCUGAUCUGGCCUUUGGUAUCUGGACAAAGGCCCAUGGCAAGUGUGUGCUAUGGAGGGUCCUGCUUAUUACUUCAGACCCUGGAAGUACUCACCGGGACACUUGGUGCCUUGGACUCUGAGGCUCCAUCAUGGCACCGUUCCUGCGCAUCUCCUUCAAUUCCUAUGAGCUGGGCUCCCUGCAGGCGGAGGACGACGCAAGCCAGCCUUUCUGUGCCGUGAAGAUGA
rnacentral:lncRNA from 1 species